rnacentral:misc_RNA from 1 species
GGAAGAGAAGAAAGCUGAAUUCGUAAGUCGGUUGUUGUUGCUUCUAACUUUCAACUGAGAAAUUAUUAUCCCUUUCUUUUCUUACUGGCUUGUAAUUGAGUUUUUUUGCAGUUAGGGUUUUGUGAAUUGAUUAUUUCAAGGGUUUUGACUAUUUUUAUCGUUGGGGUUUUACUAUGAUGCAAUGCACUUUGGGGAUUUUAGUUGGUAGUGAAGCUUGAGUUAUGGGAAAUUGGAACCCAGAGGAGACAUUUUGAUGGAUGUUCUUAAAUGGGUUUCACUGUGUGGGUGCGAUAUGUAAAUGAUGCUUUGGAUGAAUUUGAAAUUUUGAACUUCGGGGCAAAAUUUGAGCUCUUCGAUGGGCUUUCCUCCCAUUUGUUAUUAGUUUUAUCAUCGGCGGUUAUGAGCUAUUGAUUUGACUGAUUCUGUAUUAGCAAUAAGAAUAUGAAUUUAACAUGUAGGUUAAGCAACGAUAAGGAUUUUAUAUGAAUUUAUAUCUCGACCUUUUUUUUGGGGUUUGUUCGUUUUCAUGGUUUAUUUGCUUAGUUUGACUUUAUUGGCAUGGAUACGGGUUCAUGGUUUUAUCAUACAGGGUCUUUAUAGUGGUGAAUUGCCCCUUAAGCAUGCUGAGCUUGAAUGGAAAAUCCAAAUGACAAGUUUAUAUGGUUAUGUCAUGCACUUGUCAUGCAGUUAAUACGUGUGCAAGGAAUAUUUGUAUCUGAGUCUGAGAUUUUUCCAAUCAUUGUUUUUAUUGACUUUGAUUCUAUACUUGGUUCUGGAUUCAAUAUUGAUUCAAAAGUUGCAUUUUCCAAAAAGAGUUUUCUCUCUGUAGCUCUUGAGAUUAAAGUUUCAUUUUUAUUUUAUUUUAUUUUAAUU